GCUUUUCCAGAUGUAUUUAUAGGUUAGAAUUUAAUGAAAGUUAAAAAAUACUUAAAAGAAAAACAUGAGAUGAAGCCAGCCUGUAUCACCUAGUCUCAGUUUAAUGAAUAAUGAAAUUAUUGAAUAAUAAUCAAAGGAGAUUUGGAAUGGGAUGUGCCUUUUGGGUCCCCAUUCCUCUAAAACUCCUAUUAGUGAAUUUGGCUCAAGCAUCACUUAUUCUGGAAAGAAACUAAACUUGCGUGAUCUG
rnacentral:lncRNA from 1 species